rnacentral:lncRNA from 1 species
CACAAUUUCAAGACAUUUCAAAAUCGCCCGCUUCCCUGCUUCUCUCUCUCUCUCGAUUCCAGAUCUGGAUCUGGAACUAGGGUUUUCCUCCAAGGCGAUUCAAGCUGCUACUCAGAAGGAUCUUACAUCUGGUACACAAUAUCUUCUUCCUAUCAACCCUAAACUUAAUGGAGAUGGUGGAAAGGGUGGUCGGAUAUGUUCCGAGUUAAAAUCUAGGGCUUCCAUGCCGUUCGGAACCAAAACACUCCGAUUAGGGUUUUGUGUGAGAGAUGGUGCUGAAAAAAUGAAGCAACUUAAGAACCAUUAGCAGUGUGCUUGAAGACGAGUCCGAGAAAGGGAUGCCCACUAUCGCUGGAAAAUCAAGAAGUGAAUCAAAGGACAAGGAAAAGAAGCAUAAAAGGCACAAGGACAAAGACCGAGACAAGGACAAAGAGCAUAAAAAACAUAAACAUCGUCAUAAAGAUCGAAAUAAAGAUAAGGGCAAAGAAAAAAAGAAGGAUAAAAGCAGUCAUCAUGACAAGAAAAGGAAGCAUGAUGGAAUUAUGGAAACGAAGAUGUCAGUGACACUCACAAGCAGAAGAAAAGUAAGCAUAAGAACUCAAAGAUUGAUGAGAUAGGAGCGUUUAAGAUAGCAGCUUGAACCACAGAACCUGCAAUCAGAGUGGGCUACUGUAGGUUGAGACCACCGGUUAGGCCAAUCUUGCUGAAUCAACCAACCCAGACGGUUCUCGUGCAGCGAUAACUAAAUGAAUUCUGAAUCCGAUUUGGGAGGAAAUCAGAUCGCUCGCCGAGUCUGGAAAGAUUAUUACGUGAAGUUUUACCCACGAACAACGGUGUUUGUGGUAGCCGGCGAACACGAUGAUGGUGUUUUAUGGCGAUUAAGCAGCGGCAACAACGGUGGCUAGCGGCCACAGCCACUCUCCGGCGUUAUCCGUAACCGAAUCAGCGUCGACGGUUCAAGGGUUUUAAGGCUAGAUUAGCUGCAGAUGCGAUUCCGGUCCAAUUUAUCUUCUGGUGAACGUGCUGCUGGCUAAGAGGUUCAGGAAGGUGCACGCCUAGGCGCCCAAGCGAGGUGAAACAUUCUGAAAACCUAAGUACGCAGGCGCGGUGAACCAUUCUAAAAACCGGCUUGAACCAGCUCUGAAGUCUGAACCUGUGUGGAAUACACAUGCGCCCUGCUUGCUUUGGGGCAUCGCUUACGUGCCUUUAGCUUAGCCGACUAGCUCAUCUUUUGCACCUUGAGCCUUUGACUACCUAGAUUAACUUGGUAUACGUUUGUGAAAAUCUUUUCAUUAUGACAACUUGGUAUAAGUAUGCGGAAUUGUUUGAAUUCGGAGAUUUUUUUUUUUGCAACCAUAAAUCGCGGGGUCGUGUAGUUCUGUUUGAGACAAUAAUGUUAAACUAUGAUGAUGUUUAUUGCAGUACAUACCCACUAUUUAGUUUGUUUGGUUUAUUGGACAAUUAUAUAUUAAAUAGGAUUUAUUUUAAUGCAGCUAAGUAACUCGAAGUGUGUUCAAAACGAUUUUUUUUAACUUGGGUUGUACUUUGUCUCUAAUGGGUCAAAAUGGAUAAUCUUUGUUACAGUGGAGAUAGGUCAAACGGGUUGAAAGCCACACAAAGUGUGUACAAAACAAGCAAAACUUCCCAAAUCAUCAUAUUUCGAAGUUUAAUUAUGAUCAUAAUAAUAUAGUAUUUAAUAAUCUUUUAGGAGUUUAUGCAUUAACUGUCUAUAAAGCUUAAGAAAGGAAAAAAAAAAGGUGCUUGCAGGUUGGCCCAACUUGACCAAUAUUAACUCAUACUCAGUUUGACUUGUUUAGGCCCAAUCUAUUCUGACAUGUGACCCAACCCACUCAACCAGCCCUUCUUCCACCUCUAUUAUACUCCAAAAAGUUGGUCAUGUGACACUAAUGUUAAACUAUGAUGAUGUUUAUUACAGUACAUACCCACUCUUAUGAUGGGAAAAAGCCAAGCAUAUGACCGAUUUGUUGUGUAAAAUGUUUGGUUUUAUUGAUGCUACUAGAAGAGGAAGCAGGUUGGUUAACAUUGCGGCUUUUUGAGAUGAAACCACUUGUAUUUAUGGGAUUAUGUAUCAAACAAUUCUUUUGCAAAG